rnacentral:rRNA from 1 species
UACAGAGGGUGCAAGCGUUAAUCGGAAUUACUGGGCGUAAAGCGUGCGUAGACGGUUAUGUAAGUCGGGUGUGAAAGCCCCGGGCUCAACCUGGGAAUUGCAUUCGAGACUGCAUAGCUAGGGUGCGGAAGAGGGAAGCGGAAUUUCCGGUGUAGCGGUGAAAUGCGUAGAUAUCGGAAGGAACACCAGUGGCGAAAGCGGCUUCCUGGUCCAGCACCGACGUUCAGGCACGAAAGCGUGGGAGCAAACAGG